rnacentral:rRNA from 1 species
AACGAACGCUGGCGGCAGGCUUAACACAUGCAAGUCGAGCGCCCCGCAAGGGGAGCGGCAGACGGGUGAGUAACGCGUGGGAAUCUACCCAUCUCUACGGAAUAACGCAUGGAAACGUGUGCUAAUACCGUAUACGUCCUUCGGGAGAAAGAUUUAUCGGAGAUGGAUGAGCCCGCGUUGGAUUAGCUAGUUGGUGGGGUAAAGGCCUACCAAGGCGACGAUCCAUAGCUGGUCUGAGAGGAUGAUCAGCCACACUGGGACUGAGACACGGCCCAGACUCCUACGGGAGGCAGCAGUGGGGAAUAUUGGACAAUGGGCGCAAGCCUGAUCCAGCCAUGCCGCGUGAGUGAUGGAGGCCCUAGGGUUGUAAGGCUCUUUCACCGGUGAAGAUAAUGACGGUAACCGGAGAAGAAGCCCCGGCUAACUUCGUGCCAGCAGCCGCCGUAAAAC